rnacentral:ncRNA from 1 species
CUACGGUGGGCACGCCGUGGUGUUCGGGAAGCCGGUGACGGCCCCUCAGGGGUCCAUGCCGGCGCGGCCCUCGCCACUGUGAUCGGGGAGUUCACGUCCCGUCCGGCUUCCGCCGGGCCACUGGCCGUUCGUACGGCUGGGAAGGCAGAGACGGCGAACGCACCGCCCCGUAAGCCAGGAGACCGGCCACGGCAGCUCACGAGAU